UCUUAUCCAGAGUGGCUGAGGGAACGGCCCAAUGACGCCCGGCAACCUGUCCCCUGCGGACAAGGUGCCAAUUCCGGCAGCAGCAAUGCUGAAAGAUGAG
rnacentral:ncRNA from 2 species